rnacentral:rRNA from 1 species
CAGCAGCCGCGGUAAAACGGAGGGUGCAAGCGUUAAUCGGAAUUACUGGGCGUAAAGCGCACGCAGGCGGUCUGACAAGUCAGAUGUGAAAUCCCCGGGCUUAACCUGGGAACUGCAUUUGAAACUGUCAGGCUGGAGUCUUGUAGAGGGGGGUAGAAUUCCAGGUGUAGCGGUGAAAUGCGUAGAGAUCUGGAGGAAUACCGGUGGCGAAGGCGGCCCCCUGGACAAAGACUGACGCUCAGGUGCGAAAGCGUGGGGAGCAAACAGGAUUAGAUACCCCGGUAGUCCCUGUCUCUUAUAC